rnacentral:rRNA from 1 species
AGAACGAACGCUGGCGGCAGGCUUAACACAUGCAAGUCGAACGCUCGUAGCAAUACGGGAGUGGCAGACGGGUGAGUAACGCGUGGGAACAUACCCUCCGGUUCGGAAUAGCUCAGGGAAACUUGGAUUAAUACCGGAUACGGCUGCGAGGCGAAAGAUUUAUCGCCGGAGGAUUGGCCCGCGUUCGAUUAGCUUGUUGGUGAGGUAACGGCUCACCAAGGCGAUGAUCGAUAGCUGGUCUGAGAGGAUGAUCAGCCACAUUGGGACUGAGACACGGCCCAAACUCCUACGGGAGGCAGCAGUGGGGAAUAUUGGACAAUGGGCGCAAGCCUGAUCCAGCCAUGCCGCGUGAGUGAUGACGGCCUUAGGGUUGUAAAGCUCUUUUGGCGGGUACGAUGAUGACGGUACCGCAGAAUAAGCCCCGGCUAACUUCGUGCCAGCAGCCGC